CUAUCUGCAGAGUUAGCUCCAGGUUAAUGUCACCCAGUAGUGCUAUCUGCAGAGUUAGCUCCAGGUUAAUGUCACCCAGUAGUGCUAUCUGCAGGGUUAGCUCCAGGUUAAUGUCACCCAGUAGUGCUAUCUGCAGAGUUAGGUUAAUGUCACCCAGUAGUGCUAUCUGCAGGGUUAGCUCCAGGUUAAUGUCACCCAGUAGUGCUAUCUGCAGGGUUAGCUCCAGGUUAAUGUCACCCAGUAGUGCUAUCUGCAGGGUUAGCUCCAGGUUAAUGUCACCCAGUAGUGCUAUCUGCAGGGUUAGCUCCAGGUUAAUGUCACCCAGUAGUGCUAUCUGCAGGGUUAGCUCCAGGUUAAUGUCACCCAGUAGUGCUAUCUGCAGGGUUAGCUCCAGGUUAAUGUCACCCAGUAGUGCUAUCUGCAGAGUUAGCUCCAGGUUAAUGUCACCCAGUAGUGCUAUCUGCAGAGUUAGCUCCAGGUUAAUGUCACCCAGUAGUGCUAUCUGCAGAGUUAGCUCCAGGUUAAUGUCACCCAGUAGUGCUAUCUGCAGGGUUAGCUCCAGGUUAAUGUCACCCAGUAGUGCUAUCUGCAGAGUUAGCUCCAGGUUAAUAUCACCCAGUAGUGCUAUCUGCAGAGUUAGCUCCAGGUUAAUGUCACCCAGUAGUGCUAUCUGCAGGGUUAGCUCCAGGUUAAUAUCACCCAGUAGUGCUAUCUGCAGGGUUAGCUCCAGGUUAAUGUCACCCAGUAGUGCUAUCUGCAGGGUUAGCUCCAGGUUAAUGUCACCCAGUAGUGCUAUCUGCAGGGUUAGCUCCAGGUUAAUGUCACCCAGUAGUGCUAUCUGCAGGGUUAGCUCCAGGUUAAUGUCACCCAGUAGUGCUAUC